GGUGGAGUGGCCGAGAGGCGAGGCGAAGGUCUGCAAAACCUUUCACACGGGUUCGAAUCCCGUCUCUACCU
rnacentral:tRNA from 1 species